AUUGAACGCUGGCGGCAGGCCUAACACAUGCAAGUCGAACGAGUGGCGGACGGGUGAGUAAUGUAUGGGCAUCUGCCUGAUGGAGGGGGAUAACUACGGGAAAAGGUGGCUAAUACCGCAUACCAUCGGAUGUGCCCAGAUGGGAUUAGCUAGUAGGUGGGGUAAAGGCUCACCUAGGCGACGAUCACUAGCUGGUCUGAGAGGAUGACCAGCCACACUGGGACUGAGACACGGUCCAGACGCCUACGGGAGGCAGCAGUGGGGAAUAUUGAGCAAUGGGCGCAAGCCUGAUCCAUCCAUGCCGCGUGAAUGAAGAAGGCCUUCGGGUUGUAAAGUUCUUUCAGCGGGGAGGCGUUACCUGCAGAAGAAGCACCGGCUAACUACGUGCCAGCAGCCGCGGUAAUUC
rnacentral:rRNA from 1 species